AGGAUAGACCAGCAUAGAAAAGAAAGAGAUACAGAGGACUCGGGCACAGCUGUCCAGAGGAGCUGUGGGUGCCCUAUCCCUUGAGGAGACGAUGGAAGUUCAGUCAGACCCCCGGUUGCUGUUGCUGGGAUACGGUCAGCAGGAAAACGCAGUAAAAGGAGAGGCUGGGUCUGAAGACUGGAGGACUAUCAAACGUGUGCAGAAAUGACCCUUGUCUUGUGCCUGGAUGUUCAGCCAGUGAGGACCUGAGCAAGAAGGGACAGUACUUGCAUAAAAAAUAUUACUUUGUUUUGGCAUUCAGCUUUAUCUGAACUAACAGUAGAUGAACGUAACCACUGCCCAGUCCCAGCUGUGUCAUUGGUCUUUUGGUGAUGGCAGUCAGCUGCCUCCCUCUACACCAGCAGAAGAGGAUUACACUUGGAGCUCUGUGACUCGUUCUUCCUUGCUUCUAAAUUUCCUCCAUGGAAAAUGAAAGUAAUGGAAAUAAAAAGCUUUUUUGCACUUGAAAAUCCAGUGUAAUUCCUGCUCCCAAGUGUUCCCGAAUAUUCCCGAGUGCCAUCUGCUGGCACCUCCUCGUAACGCUCAUAACAGCUCUCCAUCCCGCGCAGUCCCUAAGGGCUGCACAGAGCUGCCUUUGUGGACACACAUGCCGCAGCCCACAGUGAGCUUGGUUGCCCCAUCACUGAGUCAGAAGCAGGGUGUAUAAAU
rnacentral:lncRNA from 1 species